CAGAACGACCAGAGAA
rnacentral:rRNA from 1 species